rnacentral:sRNA from 1 species
UUGGCAGGUGGUCAGGACAGGUGCAGCACUGGUAGCGACCGUUCCAGCCUUCCCAACAGCAUCCCGUGUAUGUGCCUCGACCCUGCCCUGCAGGGCCACCUCUAGAGUCCUUCACCAUUCAGUGACAGGG